rnacentral:rRNA from 1 species
UGGGGAAUAUUGCACAAUGGGCGCAAGCCUGAUGCAGCCAUGCCGCGUGUGUGAAGAAGGCCUUCGGGUUGUAAAGCACUUUCAGCGGGGAGGAAGGCGAUAAGGUUAAUAACCUCAUCGAUUGACGUUACCCGCAGAAGAAGCACCGGCUAACUCCGUGCCAGCAGCCGCGGUAAUACGGAGGGUGCAAGCGUUAAUCGGAAUUACUGGGCGUAAAGCGCACGCAGGCGGUCUGUCAAGUCGGAUGUGAAAUCCCCGGGCUCAACCUGGGAACUGCAUUCGAAACUGGCAGGCUAGAGUCUUGUAGAGUGGGGUAGAAUUCCAGGUGUAGCGGUGAAAUGCGUAGAGAUCUGGAGGAAUACCGGUGGCGAAGGCGGCCCCCUGGACAAAGACUGACGCUCAGGUGCGAAAGCGUGGGGAGCAAACAGG